rnacentral:ncRNA from 1 species
CAACCUCAACUCAUAUGGGACUACCCCCUGAAUUUAAGCAUAUUAAUUAGGGGAGGAAAAGAAACUAACAAGGAUUUUCUUAGUAGCGGCGAGCGAAAAGAAAUCAGUUCAGCACUAAGUCACUUUGUCUAUAUGGCAAAUGUGAGAUGCAGUGUACGGAACAUCAACAUUCUAGUAUGAGAAGUUAACGAUUUAAGUCCUUCUUAAAUGAGGCCAUUUACCCAUAGAGGGUGCCAGGCCCGUAUAACGUUAAUGAUUACUAGAUGGUGUUUCCAAAGAGUCGUGUUGCUUGAUAGUGCAGCACUAAGUGGGUGGUAAACUCCAUCUAAAACUAAAUAUAACCAUGAGACCGAUAGUAAACAAGUACCGUGAGGGAAAGUUGAAAAGAACUCUGAAUAGAGAGUUAAAUAGUACGUGAAACUGCUUAGAGGUUAAGCCCGAUGAACCUGAAUAUCCGUUAUGGAAAAUUCAUCAUUAGAAUUGUAAUAUUUUAAACAAUAUUAUAAUAAUAGUGUGCAUUUUUUCCAUAUAAGGACAUUGUAAUCUAUUAGCAUAAAUAUUUAUCAUAAAAUUAUGUGUGAUUGCUUAUUUGAAUUAUAUGCUGGGCAUUUUAACAUAAAAUAAAAGAUAUAAAUUUGAUAAAGUGUUGAUAGAUUUAUAUGAUUACAGUGCGUUAAUUUUUAGGAAUUAUAUAAUGGCAUAAUUAUCAUUGAUAUUUUUGUUUAUUAUAUGCAUUUGUAUGAUUAACAAUGCGCAAGAUUCAGGAUACUUUCGGGACCCGUCCCGAAACAUGGACCAAGG